GAAAUCCCGUCUGGUAAGACUCUAGCCAAGUCACCAGUAGCGAGUCUUGGACUCGAUGGAGUAAUUCAUAGAGUUAAGCGUAGACAGGUAGGUAGUAGGCCUGAAUGUGAUUGAGCCCCGUAAUGGGCAAACGGGAAGGUUGACGGUUUCGAAACUCCGGAAAACUAUAUCUUGGUACGCGAUAUGGCGAGUGUAUUGAGACUUCCUCGGGGUCUAAGAGCC
rfam:Desulfotomaculum acetoxidans DSM 771, complete genome.